GUACACGCUGUGACUAGCAUAUCAAUAAGCGGAGGAAAAGAAACUAACAAGGAUUCCCCUAGUAACGGCGAGUGAAGCGGGAAGAGCUCAAAUUUGAAAUCUUAAAGGGUUCCCCUUUACGAAUUGUAGUUUAAAGAAGUGUUUUCUGUUGAGGUUUUGGUAAAAGUUCUUUGGAAUAGGACAUCAUAGAGGGUGAGAAUCCCGUAUUUGACCUUUACUUUCAACUUUGUGAUACACUUUCAAAGAGUCGGAUUGUUUGGGAAUGCAGUCCAAAAUGGGUGGUAAAUUUCAUCUAAAGCUAAAUAUUGGCGAGAGACCGAUAGCGAACAAGUACCGUGAGGGAAAGAUGAAAAGAACUUUGAAAAGAGAGUUAAACAGUACGUGAAAUUGUCAAAAGGGAAGCGUUUGACACCAGUGUUGUUUUUCUGAAAAUCAAUUAAAGAACUGUUUAUGCUAAGCUGUUUAGACUUUAUCAGCUAAUCUGUUUAGUUUUGAGCUUUUCUUUAAUGCACUUUUCAGUUAACAAGUCAACAUCAAUUUCUUUUGCUGUAAAAAAGCUUGAGGAAGGUGGCUUGAGAUUCGUCUUAAGUGUUUAUAGCCUCUUGCCUAUGCAGUCGGAGAGAUUGAGGUCUGCAGCGUAGAUCCUUCGGGGCUAAAUGCAUUUGUGCUAAGUUAUAGCAUUUUAUAGACAACUUGUUGACUAUGAUUUGUCUUGUAGCUUACUCGCUUAUGUUAUUUUACCUACGCUUAGGAUGUUGACGCGCGUGUGUGCGUG
rnacentral:rRNA from 1 species